GUGUUUUUUAGGGGGGGGGCGAGGGGGGGUUGCAAUAAGCCUUCUUUUAAAAUUGUAACUAUUUGUUUUCCUACCCAUCUUUUUAUUCUCUUCUUUAAAGAAAUAUAUGGUCCAUGAUUUGGGCUCUAAAACGGAUAGCAAGUAGAGAUUAGUAGUAGUGUCAAGUAGAGGUUAAUGCAGCUUCAGUCCUGCCUGGCCCCAGGAAGGAGCCCCUCCCCACCUCCCACCCUCCCCCUGGACUCAGCAGCCCCUUGUCUGGCUGCAUAUGGGCCCUCGCCUCCAUCUUAGAGCCCUUUCAGUCCAUCAAAAGUAAACUCAGUGGAGUUUGAAAUGUUUACAGUGCUGUGUGUCCACUUGUCACGUCGUUCCCAUUUGGAAACGUUUUCAAUAAAGCGAGUGUGGUUUAUAGGGGACGUGAAAGAUUACACUUAAAAUAGGAACCUACAAGGAAGGGCGCUGAUGAGGCCACCAGUUUUCCCACCAGGCCUCUCUGAUGAAACAAGCCAAAGGAAUUGUAAAAUUCAGGGGAAGAACGUGGUGGAAGACUGAAAGAAAAAUAAAUGUCAGAGCCCAUAAUUUAAAGCCCUUCGUAAAAUCCUUUCCUUGUUUGUCAUGCUACUAAAACACAGCUUCCUCUUGAGUCACUUUGAAAUGAGUUACGUCCACAGCCCCAGGUCAGACGUCGACCGUCGGCGGCCGAGACUCCAGGGAGACGUUCCCAUCUCACCCGGACUUUACGCGCCUGACCGUGCUGCCCUUGUGCACUUUUAUAACAGAGACUAAUGGAGGGAGCCUGUUGGUAUUAAAUUGUCCCUUUCUUUUUCUUGUUCCAAGAAUCCUGCAGUGUGUCUCUUAGGUAAAAGUCUCUUUGCUAUUCACUGGGAGAAAUAUGGUUUAUAGAACACUGGUCACUGUGGUCAAUACUACUUUAUGAUGACAUCUGGAAAAGAGAACUUGAUGCUGAGGGUAGUGGUUGCCUCAGGGCUGUGAUUUAUAUUGUAGAAAACAAAGAUGCUCUUGUCACAUGAUGAACUUCAGAUUAGAUACGGCCCUAAAGCUGUCUUGUGCUGACCUUAUAUUCUUAUCUCAGAAGAGAAAUCUUGGUUUGGGUAAUUCAUUUUUUAAAAAAGAUCAUUAUGUGCAAAACACUAGGUUUUAAAAAUAACUCACAGAAUGGCCUUAGUUUUC
ensembl:lncRNA